UACUCAGAAGGAUCCUGUGAGGUCGGGACAUUUUCUGGCAACAGAAGUCCUUGCAAGUAGCAGUGCUUCUGCCGUGAAGUCUUGGAGGCAAGGGCACAGUCAUCAUGCAAAAAUUCCCAGUCAUCAUGCUAGUGGCUGUAGGAAAUCCAGAAGUAUUGUUGCCGGAGGAAGUUGCUGGACAGACAUUUGUAUAUCUGGACCAGGACCACAGAAGCUUGUUGCUUGCAUGGAGCGCCUGUGUGCCCGACUGGACAAGUGCAGAGUUCCAUGUCCACAGUAUAGGUCUGGCCUGGUGUGGUGCCCUUCACCUUGUACUUCUUCUCCCUCACCUGGCAGACAUUAGGGAAGAGAUGAUAGACAACUUAUAAUGCAAGCUAUAA